UGGGGAAUUUUGGACGAAUUGGGCGAAAGCCUGAUCCAGCAAUGCCGCGUGUGUGAAGAAGGCCUUCGGGUUGUAAAGCACUUUUGUCCGGAAAGAAAUCCUUGGCUCUAAUACAGUCGGGGGAUGACGGUACCGGAAGAAUAAGCACCGGCUAACUACGUGCCAGCAGCCGCGGUAAUACGUAGGGUGCAAGCGUUAAUCGGAAUUACUGGGCGUAAAGCGUGCGCAGGCGGUUUGCUAAGACCGAUGUGAAAUCCCCGGGCUCAACCUGGGAACUGCAUUGGUGACUGGCAGGCUAGAGUAUGGCAGAGGGGGGUAGAAUUCCACGUGUAGCAGUGAAAUGCGUGGAGAUGUGGAGGAAUACCGAUGGCGAAGGCAGCCCCC
rnacentral:rRNA from 1 species